rnacentral:snoRNA from 16 species
UAACAUCCAGCUCACUUUGAAGGUUCGCCUUCUGAAAAAAAACCAAUUCCUAUUACCUGACA